UCAAACGCGUUUAACAUUUUAGACUAAGCCAAAGACUCCGUCGCACUGGAAAUCGCCUUCGGAGGUACCAGAGGUCAAAACCCGGAGUUGAAGAAGACAAUGAUGAGAAGAUGAAGGAAUCAACACUAUUCAGGAAGCUAGGGUGAUUUGGCAUGUCAUUGUCAUACCUCAAUUUUGUCUAGGCAUUUCAACCUUUUGAUAAAUUUGAUUUCAUUUUUAAUUUGAAUUAGUUGUGCAGCAUGACACGCAUUUCAUCAUGAAUAAUACUUAAAGUAUCAGUCAGAAUGAAUUCUUGAAUAUACAGACAAACUGGUUGAAUCA